rnacentral:rRNA from 1 species
AUGAAGAACCGCUUGGAGAAAGGACCUCCCUUGAAGCUCGAAACACCGGCGCCUAAGGAAACAUCAGCGACAAUGGCAUUGCCAACUGCCUUGGCCACAAACACGCCAAAAACUCCUGCACUGGACCAGAAAGAUACCACACCUUCCUUCUCCCUCACCGAAGAGGGUCCCUACCCCCUCGUCCUGGCUCGAAGGACGCCGCACCGUCGAGCGAGGGAUGAGUUCACCCUAGAACAAGGAAAGGCACGAUCUUGGGGUAGCAGACACAGAACAUUUGCUCGCAUCCGUGUCGUAGCAACGGGCAUACCUCACUGGGCAUUUAAGCACAGACCGCAUGUGUCCAAACAAGAAGAGAGUAAGCUGUAG